UCCUACGGGAGGCAGCAGUCGGGAAUUUUGGGCAAUGGGGGAAACCCUGACCCAGCAACGCCGCGUGAAGGAUGAAGUAUUUCGGUAUGUAAACUUCGAAAGAAUAGGAAGAAUAAAUGACGGUACUAUUUAUAAGGUCCGGCUAACUACGUGCCAGCAGCCGCGGUAAUACGUAGGGACCAAGCGUUGUUCGGAUUUACUGGGCGUAAAGGGCGCGUAGGCGGUGCGGUAAGUCACUUGUGAAAUCUCUGAGCUUAACUCAGAACGGCCAAGUGAUACUGCAGUACUAGAGUGCAGAAGGGGCAAUCGGAAUUCUUGGUGUAGCGGUGAAAUGCGUAGAUAUCAAGAGGAACACCUGAGGUGAAGACGGGUUGCUGGGCUGACACUGACGCUGAGGCGCGAAAGCCAGGGGAGCAAACGGGAUUAGAUACCCCGGUAGUCCUGGCCCUAAACGAUGAAUACUUGGUGUCUGGAGUCUUUAAUGCUCCGGGUGCCGUCGCUAACGUUUUAAGUAUUCCGCCUGGGGAGUACGCUCGCAAGAGUGAAACUCAAAGGAAUUGACGG
rnacentral:rRNA from 1 species